UACGGAGGGUGCGAGCGUUAAUCGGAAUCACUGGGCGUAAAGCGCGCGUAGGCGGCUUUUCAAGUCAGGGGUGAAAUCCCACGGCCCAACCGUGGAACUGCCUUUGAAACUGUAGAGCUUGAGUGUCGGAGAGGGUGGCGGAAUCCCAGGUGUAGGAGUGAAAUCCGUAGAUAUCUGGAGGAACACCGGUGGCGAAGGCGGCCACCUGGACGACAACUGACGCUGAGGUGCGAAAGCGUGGGUAGCAAACAGG
rnacentral:rRNA from 1 species